GUACACGCUGUGACUAGCAUAUCAAUAAGCGGAGGAAAAGAAACUAACAGGGAUUCCCCUAGUAACGGCGAGUGAAGCGGGAAGAGCUCAAAUUUGAAAUCUUAAAGGGUUUCCCUUUACGAAUUGUAGUUUAAAGAAGUGUUUUCUGUUGAGGUUUUGGUAAAAGUUCUUUGGAAUAGGACAUCAUAGAGGGUGAGAAUCCCGUAUUUGACCUUUACUUUCAACUUUGUGAUACACUUUCAAAGAGUCGGAUUGUUUGGGAAUGCAGUCCAAAAUGGGUGGUAAAUUUCAUCUAAAGCUAAAUAUUGGCGAGAGACCGAUAGCGAACAAGUACCGUGAGGGAAAGAUGAAAAGAACUUUGAAAAGAGAGUUAAACAGUACGUGAAAUUGUCAAAAGGGAAGCGUUUGACACCAGUGUUGUUUUUCUGAAAAUCAAUUAAAGAACUGUUUAUGCUAAGUUGUUUAGACUUUAUCAGCUAACUGUUUAGUUUUGAGCUUUUCUUUAAUGCACUUUUCAGUUAACAAGUCAACAUCAAUUUCUUUUGCUGUAAAAAAGCUUGAGGAAGGUGGCUUGAGAUUCGUCUUAAGUGUUUAUAGCCUCUUGCCUAUGCAGUCGGAGAGAUUGAGGUCUGCAGCGUAGAUCCUUCGGGGCUAAAUGCAUUUGUGCUAAGUUAUAGCAUUUCAUAGACAACUUGUUGACUAUGAUUUGUCUUGUAGCUUACUCGCUUAUGUUAUUUUACCUACGCUUAGGAUGUUGACGAGACUGCGAUCUC
rnacentral:rRNA from 1 species